rnacentral:rRNA from 1 species
AACGAACGCUGGCGGCGUGGAUAAGACAUGCAAGUCGAACGGGAUUACUUCGAGUAGCAAUACCUGAAGUAAUUUAGUGGCGAACGGGUGCGUAACACGUGGGGAAUCUGCCGAGAAGUGGGGAUAGCCCGUCGAAAGGCGAAUUAAUACCGCAUAUGAUCAGGGAAGACAUCUUUCCAACAUCAAAGCCGGGGCAACCUGGCGCUUCUUGAUGACCCCGCGGCCUAUCAGCUAGUUGGUGAGGUAACGGCCCACCAAGGCGAUGACGGGUAGCUGGUCUGAGAGGACGACCAGUCACACUGGAACUGAGACACGGUCCAGACACCUACGGGUGGCAGCAGUCGAGAAUUUUCUCAAGUGGGGCAACCCUGAAGGAGCGACGCCGCGCGGAGGAUGAAGGC